UACGUAGGGUGCAAGCGUUAUUCGGAAUUACUGGGCGUAAAGCGUGCGCAGGCGGUUAUGUAAGACAGAUGUGAAAUCCCCGGGCUCAACCUGGGAACUGCAUUUGUGACUGCAUAGCUAGAGUACGGUAGAGGGGGAUGGAAUUCCGCGUGUAGCAGUGAAAUGCGUAGAUAUGCGGAGGAACACCGAUGGCGAAGGCAAUCCCCUGGACCUGUACUGACGCUCAUGCACGAAAGCGUGGGGAGCAAACAGG
rnacentral:rRNA from 1 species